UGCGUAGGCGGCUCUAUAAGUAUGGUGUGAAAUCUCCCGGCUCAACCGGGAGGGUGCGCCGUAGACUGUGGGGCUAGAGUGUGGGAGAGGAAAGUGGAAUUCCUGGUGUAGCGGUGAAAUGCGUAGAUAUCAGGAGGAACACCGGUGGUGUAAACGGCUUUCUGGACCAUAACUGACGCUGAGGCACGAAAGCGUGGGUAGCAAACAGGAUUAGAUACCCUGGUAGUCCACGCCCUAAACGAUGCAUAUUUGGUGUGGGCCAUUCAUUUGGUCUGUGCCGGAGCUAACGCGUUAAAUAUGCCGCCUGGGGAGUACAGUCGCAAGGCUGAA
rnacentral:rRNA from 1 species